AUUGAACGCUGGCGGCAGGCUUAACACAUGCAAGUCGAGCGGAGCGGCGGACGGGUGAGUAAUGCCUAGGAAUCUGCCUGGUAGUGGUGGAUAACGUCCGGAUUCGGGCGCUAAUCCCGCAUCCUAUCAGAUGAGCCUAGGUCGGACUGGCUAGUUGGUGGGGUAAAGGCCUUCCAAGGCGACGAUCCGUAACUGGUCUGAGAGGAUGAACAGUCACACUGGAACUGAGACACGGUCCAGACUCCUACGGGAGGCAGCGGUGGGGAAGAUUGGACAAUGGGCGAAAGCCUGAUCCAGCCAUGCCGCGUGUGUGAAGGAGGGAUGCGGGUUGUAAAGCGCUAAAAGUUGGGAGGCGUUAGCAACAGAAUAAGCACCGGCUAACUUCGUGCCAGCCGCCGCGGUAAUAC
rnacentral:rRNA from 1 species